UAAUAAGUGUUUUAUGGCACUUUUAAAUCCAUAUCCACCUUGUGUGCAAUGUCAGUCGACCUUCUUCAUGGAGAUCGACCAAACAUCAACCUUUAUCUUUUAACUCUUUGUCUGAAAAAUAUUAUGAAUAAACAAUUCAAAAUA
rnacentral:misc_RNA from 1 species